UACGUAGGGGGCAAGCGUUGUCCGGAAUCAUUGGGCGUAAAGAGCGCGUAGGCGGUCCAGUAAGUCCGCUCUGAAAGUCCGGGGCUCAACCCCGGGAGGCGGGCGGAUACUGCUGGGCUAGAGUCCGGAAGAGGAGAGUGGAAUUCCUGGUGUAGCGGUGAAAUGCGCAGAUAUCAGGAGGAACACCGGUGGCGAAGGCGGCAUCCUGGACCAUAACUGACGCUGAGGCGCGAAAGCUAGGGGAGCAAACGGG
rnacentral:rRNA from 1 species